UCUCUCUGAAGGAAAACGGCUCCAAGCGUGAGAUGUGUCAUGGACUGAACUGUGUUCCCUUCAGAUUCAUGUGUCGAAGUCCUAACCCAUAGUGCCUCAGAUGAUUGUGCACUCCUUGAAGUCAGAGACCAUCAGUCAAAUUGACUCAGCAAAUCCUCGUGAACCCUCUGAGUCCACCAAUGUUUCAGACAGUGCAGGUGACAUCACAGGACUCUGGGAGGCAGUGGAGCCAGGAAAGGAGAACUCCUUACACUGGGUUUCUGAGCCAACUGAUAGUCCUAAACCGAGAAGAUCAAAGGGGCUGCUGGAAUUUCACUUCUCACAGAUGUCCUCCUGCCCAGUGUUCUGAGGGAGGCACUGUCCUCCUUGGUGAUGGGGCUUUCCUCACCCUUCCAGGGGGGCCCGGUGCUCUUCUUCAUCAUCAUCAGAAUCGGUUUCAGAUGAGUCAUCAUCGUCGUCAUCAUCGUUUUCACUAAAGCCCCGCUGAGGUGUCAGCUGCGAGGUCUUCUUCUUCUCCUGAGAUAGGGCGGGGCAGGCACAGAAAGGCCCAUAUCAGGAGCAACCCAGCAUACCUGUGCCCCGUGUUCUCCCGGUGCUCUGACCACAACCUCCCACCUGGCACCAAUUCACUAGAAAGAGAAGGAAGUACCCCCAGAAGGGCUCCAAGAACCUUCUCCUGCUCCUGCUGAACUACUGACUGAGGCCCCGACUCCUCUAACAAUGGUCUACUCCUCGACUUGAGGCUUAGGUAUAGGUUUUAUCCAAUACUGAUCUAUUUUACCUAUUACUUAGGAGCUCCUGAGAACUCUGCAUAAACUUUAUCCAGUCAGCUUCAACUCUAAAACUUCGGGACUUCUGAAGAAUAAAGCAACUCUUAAAUAGUUAUUUUGGGAGGAAAUGGGGAAAGAUGAAGUGGGAAAGAUAAACUUUGGGGCCCUUGACACUCAAAAGAUCACAGAGAGGAAAUCUAGUAUUUAAUUAUUUAAUUUUAAUUUUAUUUAAUUAAUUAUUUAAUUUGCAAGACUGCCCAGGGUAAGCUGCUUGCAAUUAUCAAAAGCUCACCAUCAACCCUGUGUCUGAACUCUGAUCAGCAUUUUCAGAGUCUGUGGGUCUUCCCUUUCCAUUCAAUGCGAAUCUGACCUAUCCAUCUUAACCCCCCCUUCCCUGUAAGUUAAAUGAAAUGACUGGACGUUACAUCUGAA